GCUCACGUAGCUCAGUUGGCAGAGCACAUCCUUGGUAAGGAUGAGGUCACCGGUUCGAUCCCGGUCGUGAGCU
rnacentral:tRNA from 1 species